UUCAGCUGCUUAUGGAGUACUGGCUGGCUAUAGCCUCUGUACUUCAGAAGUUUGGUGGUAUUUGGAAAAGUAAUUCAGGGAUGAACUGAUAUCUAGACAAUACACUCUAGAAAAACUAAAGAAAUGCAAAGUCAUUAGUUUAUUGAAGAGCAAGCUGGAAGCUUACCUGGUCAAUCUUCUAGUAGUUGACUUAAGAAGACAUUUCUAAUAGGCUUUUCUUUCAUCUAAUGCAGAAUAACAUAACAAGAGCUGAUUGGCAGAAAAAUCUUCAGACUAGAGAUGUGAACAACUCUUAGUCUAGAUAGUAACCAACACCAGACACUGUAGUUUAAAGGCAAUUAAAAAUGUUUUAUGUGUUUACCAUUAUGUUAAAUUUGAAAAGUAGCAAGUGGCUUUCUGUACAUUGGGCAUGCUUUAUCAACCCAGUAACUCAUGACGUUCCUUUUUGACUUCAAAAUGUAUGCAUCUGUAAAUCACAGACAAAAAAAAAUCCACAGCAUUUAAGGUCACAUAGAGCAGUGGUGUUAUCUUAAAAAAAAAUCUUGGUUCUAAUGGGAAUUUAUGAAAACUUGUGAAUUUUUCCCUUAAAAGCAGAGAUAAAACAUCACACUGUCUUUCUGUAUUGCAUGUGCAGGUUACAUAAGAACCAAAAAAACCACAACCCUGAAAUACUGUGAAACUGUGAUGACUGAGAGAUUGCUUAAAUUUAAACUAAAUGCAUUGAUUUGGGAGGAAGUGAAUCACACACACUUGGAUGCCCCUCUUCUACCCAUCAAUGUUGUCUGAUUAUUUUGCUAAUUCUAGAAUGCUGUAUUCAUUCUCACCAGAUGACUACUGAGUGUCAAUACGGAUUUGUUUUCCUACCUGCUGGGCAUUUGUUUCCCUAACCUUCUCUUUUUUCAAAACUGCUAAACUGUUUUUUGCUCCUUAUCUGUUUUCAACUACUGGUGCCAAAGAUGCCAUAAAUUGGAGCUUUCCAGCAGUGUCAGUUACAGAGGAUUAAAUGGGUGCCAAACUGUGAGAAAAGAAUUUAUAUGCCAAGAAGACAUCUACAUAAGCCCAGAAAUUAAAUUUCAUUUAGAGAAAAUUAGGCCAUUCAUUUCUUCUCUAGGUUGUUUUCUUUAGUAGGAAAAGACUGCAUAGUUGCCUUUCAACAUUACAAAAGAUUAUGAUCUGAAGAGAUAUAAUUCAUACUCAGGCUGUAAUACAAGCACUGUAAUACAAGCCAUGUAAUAUCAAUAUUCCACAUUCCUUAUUUGUCUACAUUACAAUAUGCUAUACAGUUCCAUGUAUAAAUUUACAUUUGAAUUAUACAAAGAUAUAACUUAAAAAAAAUCCUGAAGACGAGUUUCAAUUUGGAACUCUAACUUUGGGUUAAUACACUUUUAUCCUGUUCCAAAGUUCAGAUAUAGUUCACAUCACAGGGUCUAGGAUUGUAUCCUUCACGAAAAUUUUACUAACAGUAGAAGCCAUGCAGGCUGAGCAAACCCACUGUUUUCCUGUCUACAGUUUUUAACAAAAAGGGAAAAUUCUGCUAUUGAAAGAUUUCAUGCCAGAUCAAGCUGAACAUAUCACCACCCUCAUACAGUUAGAAAUCAGCUUGCUGAAAUCCAUCA
rnacentral:lncRNA from 1 species